UACGUAGGUGGCAAGCGUUGUCCGGAAUUACUGGGCGUAAAGGGCGUGUAGGCGGCCUUUUAAGUCAGACGUGAAAACCCUGGGCUUAACCCAGGAACUGCGUUUGAAACUGGAAGGCUUGAGGACCGGAGAGGGUAGUGGAAUUCCCAGUGUAGCGGUGAAAUGCGUAGAUAUUGGGAGGAACACCAGUGGCGAAGGCG
rnacentral:rRNA from 1 species